rnacentral:rRNA from 1 species
GAUGUUAGCGGCGGACGGGUGAGAAACACGUGGGUAACCUGCCUGUAAGACUGGGAUAACUCCGGGAAACCGGAGCUAAUACCGGAUAGUUCCUUGAACCGCAUGGUUCAAGGAUGAAAGACGGUUUCGGCUGUCACUUACAGAUGGACCCGCGGCGCAUUAGCUAGUUGGUGGGGUAAUGGCUCACCAAGGCGACGAUGCGUAGCCGACCUGAGAGGGUGAUCGGCCACACUGGGACUGAGACACGGCCCAGACUCCUACGGGAGGCAGCAGUAGGGAAUCUUCCGCAAUGGACGAAAGUCUGACGGAGCAACGCCGCGUGAGUGAUGAAGGUUUUCGGAUCGUAAAGCUCUGUUGUUAGGGAAGAACAAGUGCGAGAGUAACUGCUCGCACCUUGACGGUACCUAACCAGAAAGCCACGGCUAACUACGUGCCAGCAGCCGCGGUAAUACGUAGGUGGCAAGCGUUGUCCGGAAUUAUUGGGCGUAAAGGGCUCGCAGGCGGUUUCUUAAGUCUGAUGUGAAAGCCCCCGGCUCAACCGGGGAGGGUCAUUGGAAACUGGGAAACUUGAGUGCAGAAGAGGAGAGUGGAAUUCCACGUGUAGCGGUGAAAUGCGUAGAGAUGUGGAGGAACACCAGUGGCGAAGGCGACUCUCUGGUCUGUAACUGACGCUGAGGAGCGAAAGCGUGGGGAGCGAACAGGAUUAGAUACCCUGGUAGUCCACGCCGUAAACGAUGAGUGCUAAGUGUUAGGGGGUUUCCGCCCCUUAGUGCUGCAGCUAACGCAUUAAGCACUCCGCCUGGGGAGUACGGUCGCAAGACUGAAACUCAAAGGAAUUGACGGGGGCCCGCACAAGCGGUGGAGCAUGUGGUUUAAUUCGAAGCAACGCGAAGAACCUUACCAGGUCUUGACAUCCUCUGACAACCCUAGAGAUAGGGCUUUCCCUUCGGGGACAGAGUGACAGGUGGUGCAUGGUUGUCGUCAGCUCGUGUCGUGAGAUGUUGGGUUAAGUCCCGCAACGAGCGCAACCCUUGAUCUUAGUUGCCAGCAUUUAGUUGGGCACUCUAAGGUGACUGCCGGUGACAAACCGGAGGAAGGUGGGGAUGACGUCAAAUCAUCAUGCCCCUUAUGACCUGGGCUACACACGUGCUACAAUGGACAGAACAAAGGGCUGCGAGACCGCAAGGUUUAGCCAAUCCCAUAAAUCUGUUCUCAGUUCGGAUCGCAGUCUGCAACUCGACUGCGUGAAGCUGGAAUCGCUAGUAAUCGCGGAUCAGCAUGCCG